rnacentral:rRNA from 1 species
UUGAACGCUGGCGGCAUGCUUUACACAUGCAAGUCGAACGGCAGCGGGGGCUUCGGCCUGCCGGCGAGUGGCGAACGGGUGAGUAAUGCAUCGGAACGUACCCAGUCGUGGGGGAUAACUACGCGAAAGCGUGGCUAAUACCGCAUACGCCCUGAGGGUGAAAGCGGGGGAUCGCAAGACCUCGCGCGAUAGGAGCGGCCGAUAUCGGAUUAGCUUGUUGGUGAGGUAAAGGCUCAUCAAGGCGACGAUCCGUAGCUGGUCUGAGAGGACGACCAGCCACACUGGAACUGAGACACGGUCCAGACUCCUACGGGAGGCAGCAGUGGGGAAUUUUGGACAAUGGGCGCAAGCCUGAUCCAGCAAUGCCGCGUGCAGGAUGAAGGCCUUCGGGUUGUAAACUGCUUUUGUACGGAACGAAAAGACUCCUUCUAAUAAAGGGGGUUCAUGACGGUACCGUAAGAAUAAGCACCGGCUAACUACGU